UCCCUAGUGGCUCAGAUGGUAAAGCAUCUGUCUGCAAUACAGGAGACCCGGGUUUGAUCCCUGGGUUGGGAA
rnacentral:tRNA from 1 species